GGUUGUGUAGUGUAGCGGUUAGCACGUGGGAUUUUGAUGUCAUCAAAAUUGCAAUCUUCCUGAGACCCCGGUUCGAGCCCGGGCACGACCU